GCACACGUAACUUAACCAGCCCACAACUAUUAAAAUCUUUUCUUCCUCCUACGAGUAAAAACCCAGUACCAUUCAGUGAAGAAACAAAGAGGGACGGGACUUUUCUGGACCCUUAAUAUAUUCUCCAAGAAACUUGAACAACGCUUCUCUCACAUGUGAAUUUUGUGUAUAGACAGAUGUGUUUUUGAUUUCGUUGAAGAGGAAUUUGACGAGAAGAAGAUGUUGGAAGAUCAGGUAGCUAAUUUGUUACAGAGAUAUCUGGGGAACUAUGUUAGAGGACUUAAUAAAGAAGCCCUCAAGAUCAGUGUCUGGCAAGGGGAUGUGGAGCUAACUAAUAUGCAACUGAAGCCAGAGGCCCUCAAUGCGUUGAAGUUGCCUAUAAAGGUUAAGGCAGGAUUUCUUGGGUCAGUGAAGCUUAAGGUUCCAUGGAGCAAGCUUGGCCAGGAUCCAGUUUUAGUUCACCUGGAUCGUAUAUUUUUACUUGCUGAGCCUUCAACUCAGGUUGAAAGUUCUAGUGAAGAUGUGGUGCAAGAAGUUAAGAGGAACCGAAUACGAGAAAUGGAAAUGAAACUAUUGGAGAGCAGAAAAUUACAGACAGAAGUGAACAAGUCUUGGUUGGAGUCUUUGAUAAACACGGUAAUUGGGAAUCUGAAGCUUUCUGUUUCAAACAUUCACAUCAGAUAUGAGGACACUGAGAGCAAUCCUGGCCAUCCUUUUGCAGCUGGUGUAACUUUAGACAAGCUGUUAGCCGUCACAGUUGAUGACACUGGACAGGAGACUUUCGCAACUGGGGGUGCACUGGAGCGUAUUCAGAAGUCUGUGGAGCUGGAGAGGCUGGCUGUUUAUUUGGAUUCUGAUGUUAGUCCUUGGCACAUAGAUGAGCCAUGGGAGGAUUUACCACCCCGGGAAUGGGAUCAGAUAUUCAAAUUUGGGACAAAGGAGGGAAAGGCAGCAGCUGUUCUUCCUGAAGAGCACUCUUACAUAUUGCAGCCUGUGACUGGAAACGCGAAAUAUUCAAAACAGCAUGCUAGUUUACCUGUUAAUGAUGGUCAGCCUCUUCAAAAAGCAGUGGUGAAUCUGGAUGAUGUGACACUUAGCUUGUCAAAGAGUGGAUACAGGGAUCUGUUAAAAUUAGCUGAUAAUUUUGCUGCAUUUAAUCAACGAUUGAAGUAUGCUCAUUAUCGCCCAAGUGUCGCGGUAAAAUCUGAUCCAAGGCCAUGGUGGAAGUAUGCUUAUAAAGCCGUCUCAGAUCAGUUGAAGAAGGCUAGUGGGAAAUUGUCAUGGGAGCAGGUCCUUUGGUAUGCAAGGCUACGCAAGAAGUAUAUAUCACUCUAUGCAAAGUUGCUCAGAUCUGAUUCUGAUCGGGUUGUAAUUGAUGAUAAUGAAGAGAUCAAGGAACUUGAUCGGGAACUCGACUUUGACCUUGUUCUCCAGUGGAGGAUGUUGGCUCACAAGUUUGUGGCCCAGUCAAUGGAUUCAGCGCCUUACUUAAGGAAUCAAAAAUCAAAGAAAUCCUGGUGGCCAUUUGGAUGGACAAGCAACUCCGUGACAGAUGAAAGUGAACCGGGAAACCUCAGUGAGGAUGACUGGCAAAGGUUAAACAAUAUAAUUGGGUAUAAAGAAGGUGAUAGUGAUCAACUUCUGGAAAUCCAUGGAAGAGCAGACUUACUGCAUACUUCUUUGGAGAUUCACAUGAAACACAAUGCUUCCAGGCUUGCUGAUGAGAAGGAAUGUCUUGCCGAUCUGUCAUGUGAAAAUCUUGAUUGUUUUGUAAACCUUUAUUCUGAGGCAAAAGUGUUUGACGUACGAUUGGGAUCAUACCAGCUAUCAUCUCCAAAUGGUCUCCUUGCAGAGAGUGCAACGGGUCAUGAUUCAUUAGUUGGUGCCUUCCGCUAUAAGCCUUUUGAUUCUAAAGUGGACUGGAGCUUGGUUGCUAAAGCUUCUCCAUGUUAUGUGACCUAUUUGAAAGAUUCUAUUGAUGGAAUUGUUAACUUUUUUGAAAGCAAUGCUGCUGUAAGUCAGACAGUAGCUCUGGAAACUGCUGCAGCUGUGCAGAUGACCAUCGAUGAAGUCAAGCGCACUGCACAACAACAAGUAAACAGAGCACUGAAGGAUCAGGCCAGGUUUUCCUUGGAUUUAAAUAUUGCAGCUCCCAAGAUUACCAUACCUACUGACUUCCAUCCGGAUGACGCCCAUUCCACUAAGCUUCUGCUUGACUUGGGAAAUUUGGUAAUCCGUACCCAGGAUGGUACUGAGUCGGUUCCACCUGAGGAGAUGAGCAUGUACUUGCAAUUUGAUCUGGUUUUGAGUGAUGUCUCAGCAUUUUUGGUUGACGGUGACUACCACUGGAGUCAAGCUUCUCCGGAUCGAACUGUUGGUUCAUCCAAGCAUAGUGUUAUUAACUUCUUGCCCAUUAUUGAUAAGUGUGGGGUCAUUGUAAAGCUUCAACAGAUCCGACUCGAAAACCCUUUGUUUCCUUCUACAAGACUGGCGCUGAGGCUUCCUUCCCUGGGUUUUCAUUUCUCACCUGCUCGUUAUCACCGGCUUAUGCAAGUUGCAAAGAUCUUUCAAGGAGAAAAUAAAGAUAAUGCUGAUUUUAUUCGCCCUUGGGACCAAGCUGAUUUUGGGGGAUGGUUGUCUAUUCUUGCUUGGAAGGGUAUGGGAGGUAGGGAGGCUAUAUGGCAGCGGAAAUACCUCUGUAUUGUGGGGCCUUUUCUUUAUGUGCUCGACAAUCCGAACUCCAGAUCAUACAAGCAGUACAUGAGCCUUCGAGGGAAGCAGCUACAUCAAGUUCCUGCAGAUAUCGCUGGUAAUCUAGAACACGUGUUGGCUGUUUGUAUCUCUGGGCUGUCCAUUAACAAGAUAGUAGAAGAUCCAAAUGCCUUAGUAUUACGUUGUGACUCUGAAGAUACAAGGAGGACCUGGCAGAGCUGGUUGCAGGGGGGCAUUUAUCGUGCAUCGAGGUCUGCUCCUAUCACUGGUGUCUUAGAGACCUCAUCGGACUCUGAAGACUCUGAAGUUGAACGUGUUGACAACCAAGACUUGUUGGACUCCUCAAAGAUGGAGAAAGUUUUCUUGAUUGGUGUGCUUGAUGAACUAAAGAUACGCUUCAAUUACAAUUGUCAGAAUGAUCAGAAUUUCUUGAAGGUGCUUCUAGCUGAGGAGAAACGCUUAUUUGAAUUCCGAGCAACUGGUGGUCGGGUUGAGCUGUUGGUAAAAGAUAAUGAUAUGUUCAUUGGGAUGGUCCUCAAAUCAUUAGAGGUGGAAGAUUUAAUUUGCCGGAAAGGGAGAUCUCAGUAUUGUUAUCUUGCAAGAUCAGUCAUCAGGAGUUCUGAUGCACUGUCCCUGUCAAAUGUAAAUGGGGAUGGAACUUUUGUGAGUGAUGAUUUAAGUCAAGGUGAAGGUGAAGAUGAAUUUUACGAGGCUUCAGAGACGCUUAAUGAUGAGAGCCCCCAGUCAUGGGGGACUCAACCUGAUUAUUUUAGUUCGCAAAAUUUUCUCUCAGUAGAUAAUACUAUCAGAGCCCUUAGUUUCUCCCGUCUCUCUGGUCUACUUCCCGCCAACAAUAGUCAUCCUGGGGAUGAUAAUAUGGAAGUCAAUGACACAUUAGAUAGCUUUGUGAAGGCUCAAGUUAUAUUUUAUGAUAAGAAUUCAUCCCUUGAUGAGGGUGUUGAGACAAAGGUGGCAGUUUCGCUUGCUACUCUUUCAUUUUUUUGUCGCCGGCCUAUGAUACUGGCCAUCAUGAAUUUUGUUAAUGCUAUAAAUGUUCAGGAUGACAGUUGUGAGUCAUUCCGUGAUACUUCGGCUGCUAUGGUGCAAUCUGAUGUUUCUGACAAAAAUGCAGUUGACAAACAGGUCUCAGAUGUAUUGGAGGAGCGUGUGGCCCAAGGUUUUAUUGGGAAGGGCAAGUCCAGAGUCAUCUUUUAUUUGACACUGCAAAUGGCUCGUGCUCAAAUUUUGUUGAUGAAGGAAAAUGGUUCUAAGCUUGCUACUUUGUCACAGGAUAAUUUUCUUACUGAUAUUAAGGUGUUUCCAUCUUCUUUUAGUAUAAAGGCAUCCCUUGGAAACUUAAGAAUAAGUGAUGACAGUCUUCAUAGCAACCAUAUUUAUUUCUGGGCCUGUGAUAUGAGAAAUCCAGGCGGUAGUUCAUUUGUGGAGUUGGUCUUUUGUUCAUUUAGUCCUGAUGAUGAGGACUAUGAGGGUUAUGAUUACAGUCUUGUUGGUCAGCUUUCUGAAGUCCGUAUAGUAUAUUUGAAUCGCUUUCUCCAAGAGGUUAUCAGCUACUUCAUGGGUCUUGUUCCCAGUAAUUCGGUGGAUAUUGUCAGGGUAAAAGAUCAAAAAACAAAUACAGAAAAGUCAUUUACUCGAAGUGAAAUUGAAGGGUCACCUGCAGUAAAAUUUGAUCUUUCCCUGAGGAAGCCAAUAAUAUUAAUGCCCAGGAGAACGGACAGCCUUGACUAUCUCAAGCUCGAUAUUGUGCAUAUAACUGUGCAGAACACCUUCCAAUGGUUUCACGGAAGCAGACAAGAAAUGAAUGCUGUCCACAUGGAAAUUUUAACUGUUAAAGUUGAAGACAUAAACCUGAAUGUUGGUUCUGGAACAGAAUUAGGUGAAAGUAUAAUGCAGAAUGUCAAUGGUAUUUCUGUUAUUAUUCGGAGGUCACUCCGCGACUUGCUGCAUCAGAUUCCUGAUACAGAAGUUGAUAUUAAGAUUGAAGAACUCAAAGCAGCUCUUUCCAACAAAGAGUACCGAAUCAUUUCAGAAUGUGCACAGUCUAAUUUCUCAGAGACUCCAAACUUGGUUCCUCAACUGAAUGUUUCCUCAUCUGCUUCAGUAGAGGUGGCGGGACCUUCUGUUCCUGUAGAUUCUAAUGCAACAGAAUCUGGAACUCUGGGUAGGGAAAAGUGGAUUUCCACCAAGGUUUCUGUUAUCAUUGAUUUAGUUGAACUGAGCCUUUACUAUGGCGUAACAAGGGAUGCAUCUCUUGCAACUUUGAAGGUUAGUGGUGCAUGGUUUCUCUAUAAAUCAAAUUCAUCAGGGGAAGGUUUUCUGUCUGCAACUCUUAAGGAUUUUACCAUGCUUGAUGAUCGGGAAGGUACAGAAGAAGAACUUAGGCUGGCAAUUAGGAAGCCAGAGACCAUUGGAUAUAAUCCUACAGAUUUUUUGACUGAUGAGGUGGUUCCUCAUAAGAUGGAGAACAAAAUGGGUGAUAUUGAUAGGAAACCAGUUCCUACAAUGCUCGUUCUUGAUGCUAAAUUUAGUGAUUAUUCCACAUCUCUAUUCUUAUGUAUCCAGAGGCCACAGUUACUCGUUGCACUUGAUUUUCUGCUUGAUGUUGUUGAGUUUUUUGUGCCUACGGUUCGUGGUAUGCUAUCAAAUGAAGAGGAUAAGAAUGCUUCGCACAUUAUAGAUGGAAUUAUUCUUGAUAAGUCCACAUUCAGUCAACCUAGUGCUGAAUUCUCACUCUCUCCGCUGAGACCGUUGGUUGCCGAUGAUGAAAGAUUUGACCUUUUCUUAUAUGAUGGUAGAGGUGGGACAUUGUAUUUGCUGGAUAGACAGGGUUCUAAUCUCUCAUCUCCAAGUAUGGAAGCUAUUUUUUGUGUAGGAACUGGAAAGAAGCUUCAAUUUACGAAUGUUACCAUCAAGAAUGGACAGUUCUUAGACUCUUGUAUGUUUUUGGGAUCUAAUAGCAGCUAUUCAGCUACUGAGGAUGAUAAUGUCUUCCUUGACGAAGGGGAUAGUGGUCAUUCUCAGAGCUAUUCUGGGGAGAGUAGUAACAGUGUCUCUCCACAGAAUGUUGCUGGCAGCAGAUCCACUGAGAUUGUCUUUGAGUUACAGGCUAUUGGUCCAGAGCUCACCUUUUAUAAUAUGUCAAAGGAUGUGGGAAAAUCACUUCUCCUUUCUAACAAGCUUUUGCACACGCAAUUAGAUGCAUUCUGCAGACUUGUUUUGAAGGGUGACACUAUUGACAUUACUGCUGAAGCUCUUGGAUUUACCAUGGAGAGCAAUGGAAUCCGGAUUUUGGAGCCUUUUGAUACCUCUAUGACGUACUCGAAUGCUUCUGGGAAGACAAAUAUGAAAUUGACUAUUUCAGAUAUAUAUAUGAAUUUUUCAUUUAGCAUUUUGAGAUUAUUUCUGGCUGUUGAAGAUGACAUUUUGGCUUUUCUGAGGAUGUCAUCAAAGAAAAUGACUGUGGUGUGCUCCGAAUUUGACAAAAUUGGAACCUUUAAAAACCCUUCCAAUGAUCAGGUAUAUGCAUUUUGGAGACCACGUGCACCACCUGGUUUUGCAAUACUUGGUGACUAUCUCACACCAUUAGACAAGCCACCAACCAAAGGAGUUGUUGCUGUUAAUACCAGCUUUGUACGAGUAAAGAGACCUGAGUCUUUCAAGCUUGUUUGGCCCUCAACCUCAAUGGAUAGCUUUUUGUCUGAAGGUGUAAUUAAUGGUGAGGACAGCAGUGAUGGAGGCAAGGUUUGUUCCAUAUGGUUCCCUGAAGCGCCAAAAGGCUAUUUGUCAAUGGGAUGUGUGGUUUCUUCUGGAAGGAAAGAACCUCCAGCAUCUUCUGCUCAUUGCAUCUUAGCAUCCUUAGUUUCAUCCUGUGGCCUUAGAGAUUGUAUAAACAUUAGCCUGAACAGUUGUUAUCCAAAUUUGGUAUUCUGGCGUGUGGAUAAUUCUGUUGGCACCUUCCUGUCAGCUGACCCCACUACAAUGAACUUGAUUGGUAGAGCUUAUGAAUUACGGCAUUUAGUUUUUGGUUUUCCAUAUAUUUCUUCACAAACAUUGAAGAGCUCAGACAUCCAAACGCUUCCUUCUGCUCGUGAACAUACCAUCCGGUCAGAAAGGUCAUCAACUGUAAAUUCUGGAAGGAGAUUUGAGGCUGUUGCUACUUUUCGGUUGAUCUGGUGGAAUCAAGGCUCAGGAUCUAGAAAGAAAUUAUCCAUAUGGCGCCCUACCAUACCUGAAGGGAUGGUUUACUUUGGUGAUAUUGCUGUUAAAGGGUAUGAACCUCCAAAUACCUGCGUGGUCCUUCAUGAUUCUGGAGAGGAGCUGUACAAACCCCCUCUGGACUUUCAACGUGUUGGACAGAUAAAGAAACAUAGAGGGGUGGAUAAUAUUUCUCUUUGGCUGCCUCAGGCUCCACCUGGCUUUGUUUCCUUGGGUUGUGUUGCUUGUAAGGGUGCUGCAAAGCUAUCUGAUUUCAGUUCCUUAAGAUGCAUUCGUAGUGAUAUGGUCACAGGGGAUCAAUUUCUUGAUGAAAGCUUGUGGGAUACAUCUGAUAUAAAAUUCGUGAAAGAGCCAUUUAGCAUAUGGACGGUUGGAAACGAUUUGGGUACUUUUAUUGUACGUGGUGGUUUCAAGAAACCCCCAAGAAGGUUUGCCUUAAAGCUUGCUGACCCAGAUAUUGCAAGCUGUUCAGAUGACACUGCAAUUGAUGCAGAAAUAAGAACUUUCUCUGCAGUUCUUUUUGAUGACUAUACUGGCUUGAUGGUACCGUUGUGUAAUUUAUCUUUAAGCAGCAUUGGAUUCAGCUUACAUGGAAGACAGGACUUCUCGACCUCCUGUCUUAGCUUCUCUCUGACUGCUAGAUCAUACAAUGACAAGUACGAAGCUUGGGAGCCUCUUAUUGAACCAGUUGAUGGAUCAUUACGGUACCAGUACAAUCCCAAUGCACCAGGCGCUGCUUCGCAGCUGCGUUUGACCCCCACUGGGGAUCUCAAUAUGAAUAUUUCUGUGUCCAAUAUCAAUAUGAUAUUUCAAGCUUAUGCAAGCUGGAAUAGUCUUAGUCAAGUUCAUGAAUCGUACACGGAAGCUAUUUCUCCAAAAGGAGGAGCUAUCAUUGAUAUGCAUCACAGAAAGAGUAACUAUCUUAUUCCACAAAACAAACUCGGUCAGGACAUUUUUAUCCGAGUUGCUGAUGUCAAGGGCCUUUCCAACAUCAUUAAGAUGCCUUCUGGAGAGAGAAAGCCAUUAAAAGUGCCAGUGUCAAAGAAUAUGUUAGAUUCUCAUUUAAAUGGAAAUCUGUGUCAGAAGCUCACACAAAUGGUGACUAUCAUAAUUGCAGAGGCAGAGCUCCCAAAAUUUGAAAGUUUGUCCUCCAACCAAUAUGCUGUUGCAGUCCAUCUUAUUCCAAACCAGAGCCAAGCUGGUGAAUUACAACCGAAUCGACAAAGUGCACGAACUUGUGGAACUGGCUCAGAUAGCUCUUCUGAUGUUGAAAUUGUGAAGUGGAAUGAAGUAUUUUUCUUCAAAAUUGUUUCAACGGAUUGCUACAUGGUUGAAAUGAUAGUGACUGAGACGGGGAAAGGUGAUGAAGUUGGUUAUUUUUCAUCUCCAUUGGAGCAAAUAGCCACAUCUCAAGCCAACUACCACUUCAAUAGCUUGGCUGAGCUGACUUGGCUACAGUUGUCCUCAGCAGCACCUAAGGUUGGUGAGACAUUGAAGAAAACAUUUGGAAGGAUAAGAUGCUCUGUGCUCUUAUCACCUAAAUCAGAAGUUAAAUAUGGAGAAAAAUCAUUAACUGGAGAUAGAAGAUCCGGGUUUAUUGAGAUUAGUCCAACUAGAGGAGGACCGUGGACUAUAGUUAGGUUAAACUAUGCAGCACCUGCUGCUUGUUGGCAGUUUGGCAAUAGCCUCGUUGCCAGUGAAGUUAGUGUUAAUGAUAGCAACAGAUAUGUUAUCAUCAGAUCCAUGGUUUCAGUUCGUAAUGAUACUGAUAUUGUACUAGAUUUGUGCCUGAAGCUUUCGGCUUCAAGUCAGAAGAAUAUGCCUGGAGAGGAUGAAAAAAUGGUGGUUACUAGAGAAAGAAACCAAUUUGUGACAGAUGAGUUUUUUGAAAAUGAACAAUAUAACCCAGCUGUUGGUUGGGUUGAAAAUCUGGAUUCCCUUGAGGGAGCACUGGGAGACGAGUUGCCAUCAGGCUGGGAAUGGAUUGAUGAAUGGCAUGUUGAUAAAAGUUCUGUCCAAACAGCUGAUGGAUGGGUUUAUGCUCCAAAUUUUCAGCAUCUGAAGUGGCCCGAGUCAUACAAUCCACUUAAGUCUGUCAAUUAUGCUAGGCAAAGGAGAUGGAUUAGGCAUAGAAAGUGCAUAUCAGGGGAUUUUAUGUCACAAAUAUCUGUUGGUAUCAUUAGACCUGGUGAAGUUGUUUCAGUUCCCCUUUCUGGCCUGACACAGUCUGCAUCCUAUAUACUGCAAUUGAGGCCUUUGGAUAUCGAAAACUCAAGAGAUUAUGCUUGGAGUUCUGUAAUGGAUAGGCCUAGUCAAUUAAAGGAUGUUGGUACGCCAAAAGAAAAUUCUGAAAUUUGUGUCUCAACUCUCAAAGAGACAGAGAAACUCUUGCAUUGCCCUGAGAUUAGUGGAACCUCGUUUAAUGGUUCACACAGUAUCUGGUUUUGUUUGAAGAUACUAGGAACAGAGAUUGCAAAGGACAAGAACUCUUAUCCUAUAAAAGACUGGAGCAUUGUGGUCAAGUCACCUGUAUCUAUCACCAACUAUCUGCCUCUUUCAGCUGAAUUUUCUGUUCUGGAGAUGCAAAGCAGUGGUCAUUGUCUUAACUGUUAUAGAGGAGUAUUUAAACCUGGAGAGACUGUAAAGAUAUAUAAUGUUGACAUAAGAAAUCCUUUGUACUUAUCAUUGCUUCCACAAAAAGGAUGGCUACCCAUGCAAGAGGCUGUCCUAAUAUCUCAUCCUAGCAGGGAACCUUCAAAAACUAUUAGCUUAAGAAGUUCACUUUCUGGAAGGACUGUUCAACUCAUUCUUGAACAAAAUGACACCGAAGAAGGGCUUGUGCAGUCUAAGGUCAUUAAAGUUUAUUCGCCUUGUUGGCUUGCCAUUGCCGGAUGCCCUCCACUAACAUUUAGGCUGGUAAACUUUGGGGGCAAAAGUCCAUCAAGAAAGAUACCUUUUCCUUUUAAGUCAAAAAAGAGCAGUGAAGUGAUCCUUGAGGAAAUCACUGACGAGGAACUAUGUGAAGGUCAUACAAUUGCUUCUGCAUUGAAUUUCAAAUUGUUGGGACUCUCGGCAUCAGCAAGUCAAUCUGGAGAAGAGCAUUUCGGGCCGGUCAAGGACCUUUCUCCCCUCAAUGACAUGGAUGGAUCUGUGGACCUGUGUGCUUACAAUAGCGACGGCAAUUGUAUGCGGCUGUUUAUAUCUUCAAAACCUUGCACCUUCCUGUCUAUCCCAACAAAGGUCAUCUUCAUUCGUCCCUAUAUAACAUUCACAAACAGACUUGGUCAAAACAUAUUCAUCAAGUUAAGCAGUGAAGAUGAACCAAAGAUUUUGCAUGCAACGGAUGAAAGAGUAUCAUUUGUAUAUCGUGAAGCUGGUCGACCAAUGGAACUUCAGGUAAGAUUAGAUGAUACAAACUGGUCGUUUCCUUUUCAAGUAGCAGAGGAGGACACCAUCUCUCUGGUGAUGAGGAAAGGUGACGGUACAUGUAGAUUUCUGAGAACUGAAAUCCGUGGUUAUGAGGAGGGAUCUCGUUUUAUUGUUGUAUUUCGCUGUGGGUCACUGAAUGGUCCUAUAAGGGUCGAGAAUAGAACAAGGAGGAAGAUGAUGAGAAUCCAUCAAUCUGGAUUUGGUGAUGAUGCAUGGAUUCAGUUAUGCCCUCUUUCAACCUCUAAUUUCUCUUGGGAGAAUCCAUAUGGUGAAAAGUUUAUUGAUGCGGAGAUUCAGGAGGGAAAUAGUACUACAGUUCGCAAAUUUAACUUAGAAAAGUCAGGUUUAAACACUGAAGGUGACGGAUUAGGCCUGCUUUUCCAUGUUUUAGAUCUGGGAGAUCUUAAAGUUGCUAGGUUUUUAGAUGAGAUGACUUUAUCACUCUCAAGGGAGGGGAGCAGGUCUGCAAUUCAUGUGGAGAGUCUUGGAAAUUCUCACAUAGAGAGCAAUAUGCAGGACCAUGCAUCUCCUUUAGAACUUAUAGUUGAGAUGCAAGCUGUUGGAGUUUCUGUUGUUGAUCAUACACCAAAAGAACUCUCCUACUUGUACUUGGAGCGAGUUUUCAUAUCUUAUUCAACUGGUUAUGAUGGUGGGACCACAAGCAGGUUCAAACUCAUAUUGGGUUAUUUGCAGCUCGACAAUCAGCUCCCGCUGACAUUGAUGCCUGUACUGCUUGCACCUGAGCAAACCAGUGAUGCAAGCCAUCCAGUGUUCAAAAUGACUGUGACUGUCAGCAAUAAAAGUCAGAACGGAAUUCAGAUCUAUCCAUAUGUCUAUAUACGGGUAACUGACAAGUGUUGGAGGCUUAACAUUCAUGAACCUAUUAUUUGGGCAUAUAUAGGUUUCUACAGUAGUCUGCAACUGGAUCGUGUUAAUCAGAGUUCCAGUGUUACCCAAGUAGAUCCUGAAAUACGUAUAGACCUUAUUGACAUUUCAGAAGUAAGACUGAAGGUGUCUUUGGAAACUAGUCCUGCCGAAAGACCACCAGGAGUUCUUGGUGUGUGGAGUCCCAUACUUACAGCUGUUGGAAAUGCAUUCAAAAUUCAGAUCCAUCUGAGAAAAUUGAUACGCAGAGGCAGAUUCAUGAGAAAAAGUUCUGUCGUAUCUGCCAUUACAAAUCGUUUGUGGAGAGAUUUGAUUCAUAAUCCAUUGCAUUUGAUUUUUUCGGUGGAUGUCCUCGGCAUGACAAGUUCAACUUUAGCUUCUCUUAGCAAAGGUUUUGCGGAGCUCUCUACAGAUGGACAGUUUCUGCAACUACGUUCAAAGCAGGUUUGGUCAAGAAGGAUAGGUGGUGUUGGUGAUGGAAUCAUUCAGGGAACAGAAGCUCUUGCACAAGGAGUUGCUUUUGGAGUUUCAGGGGUUUUAAGAAAGCCUGUGGAAAGUGCUAGAGAAAAUGGUCUUCUUGGCCUUGCUCAUGGGCUGGGUCAAGCUUUCUUAGGAUUCAUUGUACAGCCAGUCAGUGGAGCAUUAGACUUUGUCUCGUUGACUGUUGAUGGAAUAGGUGCAAGCUGUUCCAGGUGCUUGGAUAUUCUCCAAAACAAGACCUCUUUCCAGAGAAUAAGGAACCCCCGGGCUAUUCAUUCUGACAAUGUACUUAGAGAGUACUGCAGGAGAGAAGCUGUUGGUCAGAUGGUACUUUUCCUUGCGGAGGCAAGUCGACAUUUUGGAUGUACUGAAAUAUUUAAAGAGCCAUCAAAAUUUGCUUGGUCGGAUCAGUAUGAGGCUCAUUUUGUGGUGCCCUACCAACGGAUUGUUCUAGUAACUAACAAACGUGUUAUGCUGCUACAGUGUGCCUCACCUGAUAAGAUGGACAAAAAACCUUGCAAGAUCAUGUGGGAUGUGCCAUGGGAAGACAUAUUGGCAUUGGAGUUGGCAAAAGCUGGUUUCCCCAUACCAUCUCAUUUAAUUAUCCAUCUCAAGAAUUUUAAGAGGUCAGAGAACUUUGUCAGAGUUAUAAAGUGCAAUACCGAAGAAUCAAACGAAAGAGAGCCUCAGGCUGUAAGUAUAUGUUCCAUGGUGCGCAAGUUUUGGAAGCGAACUGACUCAGAGCCGAGCAACCAAAUGUCAAAGGUCCCGUCUAUCCAGAGACAUGUAUGUUCUAUCCGUAAUGAAGCUGGUGGAAGUGAUCCUCAUAUGCACUUGAAAUCAGUGAUCAAAUCAACAGAGCUCUCUUUAGCUGGUUCUGCUUCGGAUGAUGGUAAACUUGUCACACACUGUAUGAACUUUUUGAAGGUGUGGAGCAGUGAACAAGAAUCAAAAGGUCGAUGUACCUUGUGCCAAAAGAAGGAAUCUGAAGAAGGUGGAAUUUGUAGUAUUUGGCGACCAGUCUGUCCCAAUGGGUAUAUCUCAGUUGGGGAUAUAGCUCGUGCUGGCAGCCAUCCUCCUAAUGUUUCAGCUGUAUAUCACUAUUCUGACAAACACUUCACUCUUCCAGUAGGAUUUGACCUGGUAUGGAGGAAUUGCCUGGAGGACUACAUAACUCCUGUCUCGAUUUGGCAUCCUCGUGCUCCUGCAGGCUAUGUCUCUCCUGGAUGUGUUGCUGUGCCUAGGUUUGAGGAGCCAGACCCUAAAGCUGUAUAUUGUAUUGCAGAAUCCCUUGCUGAGGAAACAGUUUUAGAAGACCAAAAGAUUUGGUCAGCACCUGAUUCAUAUCCGUGGUCAUGCCAUAUUUACCAAGUGCAGAGUGGAGCCCUUCAUUUUGUUGCCUUGAGACAACCCAAAGAAGAAUCUGACUGGAAGUCUAUGAGGGUUGUUGAUGACCUUUGACAAUUGGCUCAACCAUCAGAAGCUCGGUGACUUUCAUUAGAUCCUUCAUCUUGGUGCGAAAACACCCUCGUUGAGAAACUAAGCCAAAUCUCUGGGGCUGUCUUUGCAUCAUUUCGGAGCAACCUUCGGUUUCAUGAAUGUUUCACAGUUUUAGCUCAGUAUCCAGUCAGUACAUCAUGACAAGAAUCCCUUGCUGAGGAAACAGUUUUAGAAGACCAAAAGAUUUGGUCAGCACAUGAUUCAUAUCCGUGGUCAUGCCAUAUUUACCAAGUGCAGAGUGGAGCCCUUCAUUUUGUUGCCUUGAGACAACCCAAAGAAGAAUCUGAAUGGAAGUCUAUGAGGGUUGUUGAUGACCUUCAACAAUUGGCUCAACCAUCAGAAGCUCGGUGACUUUCAUUAGAUCCUUCAUCUUGGUGCGAAAACACCCUCGUUGAGAAACUAAGCCAAAUCUCUGGGACUGUCUUUGCAUCAUUUCAGAGCAACCUUCGGUUUCAUGAAUGUUUCACAGUUUUGGCUCAGUAUCCAGUCAGUACAUCAUGAUAAGGUAUUUUACUUCUGCCCAAGCUGGUUGUUUGCGGAGCUUCUGUGCUAUGACGUGCGAGAUGAAGAUGAUGAGUUUAUUCUUGUACUUUCCAUAGAUUUUCUCGCGGGAACGUCGACACAGAUGAUUAAUGAUUUGAGGGUCGGAGUUGGUUGAGUUGCACUUGAAACUUUGGUGCUUUUCAUUCGAGUUCUUCUGCAAGUGUACAUGCAAGAAUUUUUUGUCUUGUCUUUGCCGUACUGAAGGGCUUAAGGCUUUGGUGUACUAACUUCAAA